GCGUCUUCCUAGAACCGCGGGCUGAGCGGUGGGGCCCGGGCGGGGUGCGCGGGCGCUGUCGCCGGGUCUGGGGCCCUGAGCAGUGAAAGGAAAUACUUUGACAGAUUUCCAAGAACUUUCCAGGAAAACGGGGCGGGGCCCCGCGAGCUGACCAAUCGCGACGCUGAAGGGAGUACUUGCUGCAUUUGAUCCUCUACAACUGGUGUUGCUCCCGUUAUGCGGACAGAAGACAGCCCCAGGGAACAAAUGCUAGGAAAUGGCAGGGUGAGAAAACUGAGGCAUGGAGAGGUUACAAUAUAACUUAGAUCUCCCAGCUGGCAAGUAAUGGUUUAAGCCAGGAGCCUACACACUUCCUCCUACUUCGUCUAUGGGUGCUGGUGAUCUGCCGACUCCUAGACAUCCAGCUUUAAGGUCCUCAGUGAAGCUUCUCUGCCCCCAGGCCUGUCCAUGUCAGGGCACCAUGGGUGUCCCUUUGAAAGUAUCUCCUACAGGUCAG